UACGUAGGGUGCAAGCGUUGUCCGGAAUUAUUGGGCGUAAAGAGCUCGUAGGCGGUUCGUCGCGUCGGCUGUGAAAACCCGGAGCUCAACUCCGGGCCUGCAGUCGAUACGGGCGGACUCGAGUUCGGCAGGGGAGACUGGAAUUCCUGGUGUAGCGGUGGAAUGCGCAGAUAUCAGGAGGAACACCGAUGGCGAAGGCAGGUCACUGGGCCGCAAGCUGACGCUGAGGAGCGAAAGCAUGGGGAGCGAACAGG
rnacentral:rRNA from 1 species